GUGAUUUCAUAUGUUUCUCUCUAAAACGCAGGCCUUAAACUUUCGAUGAAGAAAUCGUUGAAUAUAAAUUUUGGUGAAGAAGAAGAAGAAGACACCGUUUCUGCGUGAGCAUCAAGCUUCUCCUCCGUCGCAAAACCGCCGCAAUCACUGCCCUAGAAGCCGGUCUAUACGCCGAAGCAAAACAGUACGAUGGAGGAGUUGCCAGAUGUGAAGAAUCGGAGGUUGUAGCGGGAAGAGUUUCAGAGGCAGGAUCACUUCAUCCGAGCAAAAUACAGGAUCACUUCAAGAUAAACAGUGAUGUUUUCUCAAGAGAAUAAACAGACACGGGGUAAUCAAUGGAGCGGAGAUAAGGGUGGGCGAGGGACUUUCUACCCGUCAAAAGUUUUUGAAGAUGUUGGCGGUGGGAGAAAUUUGAGUUCCGGGAAGAAAUAUGGUGCUACUAAUCGCGUAGAGAAGGUUUUGAAGCCAGCCGUGCCAGGAUAUAUGGGAAGAUAAAACAACAUAGUACAUGUGUUAAAGUAAAUUUUUCAUCUCAACCAUCAGUGUUAAUAUAAACACAUCAUUUGUAUGUUCUUUUUCAAAUUUUAUUUUUUUAAACUUAUUAAUGCA